rnacentral:rRNA from 1 species
AGUGAACGCUGGCGGUAGGCCUAACACAUGCAAGUCGAACGGCAGCACAGUAAGAGCUUGCUCUUACGGGUGGCGAGUGGCGGACGGGUGAGGAAUACAUCGGAAUCUACUUUUUCGUGGGGGAUAACGUAGGGAAACUUACGCUAAUACCGCAUACGACCUACGGGUGAAAGCAGGGGAUCUUCGGACCUUGCGCGAUUGAAUGAGCCGAUGUCGGACUAGCUAGUUGGCGGGGUAAAGGCCCACCAAGGCGACGAUCCGUAGCUGGUCUGAGAGGAUGAUCGGCCACACUGGAACUGAGACACGGUCCAGACUCCUACGGGAGGCAGCAGUGGGGAAUAUUGGACAAUGGGCGCAAGCCUGAUCCAGCCAUACCGCGUGGGUGAAGAAGGCGUUCGGGUUGUAAAGCCCUUUUGUUGGGAAAGAAAAGCAGCAGGUUAAUACCCCGCUGUUCUGACGGUACCCAAAGAAGAAGCACCGGCUAACUUCGUG